rnacentral:misc_RNA from 1 species
GAUGAAGAACGUAGCGAAAUGCGAUAAGUAGUGUGAAUUGCAGAAUUCAGUGAAUCAUCGAAUCUUUGAACGCACAUUGCGCCCCUUGGUAUUCCAUGGGGCAUGCCUGUUCGAGCGUCAUUUGUACCUUCAAGCUCUGCUUGGUGUUGGGUGUUUGUCUCGCCUCUGCGUGUAGACUCGCCUCAAAACAAUUGGCAGCCGGCGUAUUGAUUUCGGAGCGCAGUACAUCUCGCGCUUUGCACUCAUAACGACGACGUCCAAAAGUACAUUUUUACACUCUUGACCUCGGAUCAGGUAGGGAUACCCGCUGAACUUAAGCAUAUCAAUAAGCGGAGG